rnacentral:rRNA from 1 species
AGUCGAGCGGAGCGAGGGUGCUUGCACCUUAGCUUAGCGGCGGACGGGUGAGUAAAGCUUAGGAAUCUGCCUAUUAGUGGGGGACAACAUUCCGAAAGGGAUGCUAAUACCGCAUACGCCCUACGGGGGAAAGCAGGGGAUCUUCGGACCUUGCGCUAAUAGAUGAGCCUAAGUCGGAUUAGCUAGUUGGUGGGGUAAAGGCCUACCAAGGCGACGAUCUGUAGCGGGUCUGAGAGGAUGAUCCGCCACACUGGGACUGAGACACGGCCCAGACUCCUACGGGAGGCAGCAGUGGGGAAUACUGGACAAUGGGGGGAACCCUGAUCCAGCCAUGCCGCGUGUGUGAAGAAGGCCUUUUGGUUGUAAAGCACUUUAAGCGAGGAGGAGGCGCUCUAGGAUAAUACCCUAGAUACGUGGACGUUACUCGCAGAAUAAGCACCGGCUAACUCUGUGCCAGCAGCCGCGGUAAUACAGAGGGUGCGAGCGUUAAUCGGAUUUACUGGGCGUAAAGCGCGCGUAGGUGGCUAAUUAAGUCAAAUGUGAAAUCCCCGAGCUUAACUUGGGAAUUGCAUUCGAUACUGGUUAGCUAGAGUAUGGGAGAGGAUGGUAGAAUUCCAGGUGUAGCGGUGAAAUGCGUAGAGAUCUGGAGGAAUACCGAUGGCGAACGCAGCCAUCUGGCCUAAUACUGACACUGAGUGCGAAAGCAUGGGGAGCAACAGGAUUAGAUACCCUGGUAGUCCAUGCCGUAAACGAUGUCUACUAGCCGUUGGGGCCUUUGAGCUUUAGUGGCGCAGCUAACGCGAUAGUAGACCGCCUGGGG